rnacentral:rRNA from 1 species
AGGACGAACGCUGGCGGCGUGCUUAACACAUGCAAGUCGAGCGGUGAUCCUCCUUCGGGAGGUGAGCAGCGGCGAACGGGUGAGUAACACGUGGGCAACCUGCCCCUCACACUGGGAUAACCUCGGGAAACCGGGGCUAAUACCGGAUAUGACCUCGAGCGGCAUCUCUUGAGGUGGAAAGCUCCGACGGUGAGGGAUGGGCCCGCGGCCUAUCAGCUUGUUGGUGGGGUAAUGGCCUACCAAGGCGACGACGGGUAGCCGGCCUGAGAGGGCGACCGGCCACACUGGGACUGAGACACGGCCCAGACUCCUACGGGAGGCAGCAGUGGGGAAUAUUGCGCAAUGGGCGAAAGCCUGACGCAGCGACGCCGCGUGAGGGAUGAAGGCCUUCGGGUUGUAAACCUCUUUCAGCAGGGACGAAGCGAAAGUGACGGUACCUGCAGAAGAAGCACCGGCUAACUACGCGCCAGCAGGCCGCGGU